rnacentral:rRNA from 1 species
AGCACGCAGGGCGUGGGACAGGCAAAUCCGUCCCGCAUGGGUCCGAGGUGCGAUGAUGGGGGCCUUAUGGCCCGAUAUCCGGUGAUCCCGGCUGCCGAGAAAAGCUUCGGCGUCAGGCUCAAAGCCGCCCGUACCCCAAACCGACACUGGUGGUCAGGUAGAGAAUACCAAAGCGAUCGAGCGAAUCCUGGUCAAGGAACUCGGCAAAUCACUCCCGUUCCUUCGGUUUAAGGGAGACCCCCGAUGGUGAACACACUUGCUGUGGGAGCUUUUGGGGGUGGCACAGACCAGGGGUAGCGACUGUUUACCAAAAACACAGGUGCAUGCGAAGGCGCAAGCCGCUGUAUAUGCACUGACGCCUGCCCGGUGCCGGAAGGUUAAGAGGAUCCGUCAGCCUUCGGGUGAAGCGGUGAAUUCAAGCCCCGGUAAACGGCGGUGGUAACGAUAACCAUCCUAAGGUAGCGAAAUUCCUUGUCGGGUAAGUUCCGACCUGCACGAAUGGCGUAACAACUUCCCCACUGUCUCGACCAGGAGCUCGGCGAAACUGCAGUACGAGUAAAGAUGCUCGUUAAGCGCAGAAGGACGAAAAGACCCCGGGACCUUUACUAUACCUUGGUAUUGGCAUUCGGUGUGGAUUGUGUAGCAUAGGCGGGAGGCCGAGAGGCGCGGUCGCCAGAUCGCGCGGAGCCGUAAGGUGAAAUACCGCUCUGUUCGCAUUGGAUGUCUAACCUCGAACAGUCAUCCUGUUCAGGGACAGUGCCUGGCGGGUAGUUUAACUGGGGCGGUUGCCUCCCAAAGAGUAACGGAGGCGCCCAAAGGUCCGCUCAGCCCGGUUGGCAAUCGGGUGGCGAGUGCAAGUGCACAAGCGGGCUUGACUGCGAGGACGACGGUCCGAGCAGGGACGAAAGUCGGGACUAGUGAUCCGGUGCCGGUGUACGGACGCGGCAUCGCUCAACGGAUAAAAGGUACCCCGGGGAUAACAGGCUGAUCAUUCCCAAGAGUCCAUAUCGACGGGAUGGUUUGGCACCUCGAUGUCGGCUCGUCGCAUCCUGGGGCUGGAGCAGGUCCCAAGGGUUCGGCUGUUCGCCGAUUAAAGCGGCACGCGAGCUGGGUUCAGAACGUCGUGAGACAGUUUGGUCUCUAUCCUCUGCGGUCGUUGGAAUGCUGAGGAGGCCUGCCCAUAGUACGAGAGGACCUGGGUGGACGAACCUCUGGUAUGCCGGUUGUCACGCCAGUGGCACGGCCGGUUGGCUACGUUCGGAAGGGAUAACCGCUGAAAGCAUCUAAGCGGGAAGCCUGCUCCAAGAUAAGCAUUCCGUGGAACCUUCGAGUUCCUGUAGUCCCCAUGCAGAACACGUGGUCGAUAGGCCGGACGUGGAAGCCCCGCGAGGGGUGGAGCCGACCGGUACUAACGGACGAAAGGC